UACGAAGGGGGCUAGCGUUGUUCGGAAUCACUGGGCGUAAAGGGCGCGUAGGCGGCUUUAUAAGUCGGGGGUGAAAGCCUGUGGCUCAACCACAGAAUUGCCUUCGAUACUGUAGAGCUUGAGACCGGAAGAGGUAAGUGGAACUGCGAGUGUAGAGGUGAAAUUCGUAGAUAUUCGCAAGAACACCAGUGGCGAAGGCGGCCCCCUGGUUGGAUACUGACGCUGAGACGCGAAAGCGUGGGGAGCAAACAGG
rnacentral:rRNA from 1 species